GGCUGCACCUACGGCAUAUGAAAGUUUCAGGUCAGGGACUGAAUCCACUGGAAUAGGUCAUAGCUGUUGCUGAAAUUUUCUUCUUUCUUUCUUCUUCUUCUUUUUGUUUUUUUGUUUUUGUUUUUGUUUUUGCUUUUUAGGGCCACAACCUCAGCAUUUGGAACUUCCCAGGCUAGGGGUCUAAUUGGAGCUACAGCUGCAGGCCUACCCCACAGCCACAGCAAUGCCAGAGCGAAGCUGCGUCUUCAACCUACACUACAGCUCACAGCAAUGCUGGAUCCCUGACCCACUGAGCAAGGCCAGGGAUCGAACCCAAAUUCUCACGGAUACUAGUCGGGUUUGUUUCCACUCUGUGGUGUAGGUCGCAGACUCAACUCAGACCCCGUGUUGCUGUGGCUGUGGCAUAGGCUGGCAGCAAUUAAAUUAAACUAAAUUAAAGCUCCAAUUAAACCCCUAGUCUGGGAACCUCCCUAUGCCACAGGUGCGGCCCAAAAAAGACCAAACAAACAAAAAAAACCCUAAUUAAAAUCAUAAAGACCUGGGUUCAAAUAUCCAGCUCUGCAUUUACAUACCUUCUGUUUCUUUAUAAGAAUAAAACAACUGCACAGUUGUUAUGGGUGAUUAAAUUAUAUACUCAUGUGUCUAAGGUAAUACCAAGCCAAAACAUGGUAGUCACUUAAUUCUUGCUAUGAUUAUUAACAAAUGUUGUUCAGUCGGCGCAGAGGUAGAAUUUAAACUGAACUUUUAAGGAUGGAGGAGAGGCAUAGGGCAGGCAGAAGGAACAGUAAAGUCUUAAUUUACAAGAAAUCUCUUCCUUUUUUUCUGUAUUUCCUCUUUUAAGAUAAACCACGAGAAUGUACGUCUAUCAAUUUCCUCAAUUCUCUACCUUCAGGGUUAUACAUAUGCCUCAAAAUAACUAUACUGUGUCAAAAUUCUAAUUUAAAUAUUAAAUUAGGCUCAGUGGACUGAACACUAAAAAAUGUGAAAAUGCAUUAAUAUUUCAGUAAGAAUUCCAAUCAGAAUUCAAAGUAAGAGUACUUUUAGUUAACCCAGUUAAGUAGAAAAAUUAACUCAAAUUCUCAUUCAACAAGUCUUUCCAACAACUUCUUCGAAAACCUCUAAGUAGCAAAAGCACCAAAUACCUAGAAAAAUACAAUAAAGAAGCCAAGAAUUUUCUUAUACAACCUGCAAACUUUAUAAGAUAUGAAGAUAAUUAAUGAUAACUAAACUAUUCUGGUAAUUCAACAGUAAUACACCUACUUGGAGAGAACCAAAGUAACUUUAUACAUGUUGGUAGCAGAAAGAUAGUUAUUUUUAUGAUAUAUACAUUUAACCUUUAUGAUGACAGCAUAUUUUCUAAAUGGCUACUUAAUAGCUUUAUGCCUUUUAGCUUACAGUAAUGCUAUGCUUAUAACUGUCAAUGAAAGAAGACCUAUGCAGGUAAGGGGAUACAUUCUAUUUUAUGAUUACAUUAGGCAGACUCCUCCAAAAGAGUAGGAAUGAUGUCUCCUGCUCCUUACUAAAUUCUUAGCACUUAAAAACAGUAGAUACUCAAUAAAUAUCUGUCCAAGCUUAAAUGUUGAUUUAUGCACAAGGAAAUCAGGCUAAGAGAAAUAAAAAAUACAUGAAUCAAAAUUAGGUCAAGGCCUUGAGCAUGGGCUAUGCUUGGCGACUUGCUUCCAAAGAGUAGAGUAUGAACAGGUGGAGACUGAAACCUCACAAAGACGUCAAAUAGGUGAUCAAUGUUAACAUCAUCAAUUUUUAUGUUUUUUGGUAUAUACCCUUGAUGCUGUGAUAAGAAUGGCACUUCACCUGUUGUCUUCCUCCCUAAAACCCAUAACCCAGUUUAAUCAUGAGGAAAACAUCAGAUAAAUCUCAAUUGAGGGCUAUUCUACAAAAUUUCUAGUAGUCCUCAAAACAGUCACAGUCAUCAAAAACAAGAAAAGUCUGAAACUAUAAUUCUGGAGGAGAAAAAGGACUCUAGGGGAAAAUUAAUGAAAUCUGAAUAAAGUGUGCAAUUUAGUUAAUAGUAAUGUAGCAAUGUACCACAUUUUUUUACUUUACUAUUGAAGUUUCUUCAGUUGUGACAAAUGUACCAUAAUGUAAGAAGUUAACAGUAAGAAAAACCAAGUGAGAUUUACUCUACUACCUUGCUACUCUUUUGUAAAAUUAUUCUAAAAUUAAAAGCUUAUUUAAAUAAAAAAAAAGUUAGGGUAAUGGAAAUAAAUACAUAAAUCAAAAUCCCUUGGAAGUGAAUGGGAGUUUCUAUUGUGGUUCUGUGGAUUAAGAAUCCACCUAGUAUUCAUGAGGACGCGGGUUAGAUCCCUGGCCUCGCUCAGCGGCUUAAGAAUCUGGCAUUGCCAUAAACUGAAGUGUAGAUCGCAGAUGCAGCUUGGAUCUGGCAUGGCUGUGGCUGUGGCAUAGGCCAGCAGCUGCAGCUCUGAAACAACCCCUAGCAUGCCACAGGUGUGGCCCUAAAAAGAAAAAAAAAAAAAUCCCCUGAAAGUGAAUGAUGAUAAACAUUCUUUCGGAUUCUAUUUGGCAGCAUUCUCAUAUAGUGGAACUAAAGUUACUGAAUAAAUCUAUAGUAUUAAUCAUGAAGUCACAUAUGACCAAAGCAGAUGUCCCUUAAACUUGUUUCCCAAACAUCAACACUUCAAUUAUUGACUUAAGCUGUCAACUCUACAUUAACUGUAAAUCCCACACCUCUAAUCUCUAGUCGUUGAAGGUUAUAUUCACUUUGAUAUCUCCCACUCAGUUUAUACUCUAACCUAACUCACUAUUUUGAUUAUACUCCUCUUCCAAACCUCCUUAUCAAAGUUAUUAAUUUAUCUUUCAAUACAUCUUUCUCCUUCCCAUAGUCAAUAAUUAGUCUUGCACACCGCUGUCACGUGAAACUUCCUCAAAUAAGGAUUUUAUCUUAUCAUUACCAGGUUCAAAUUCCUUCCCUUUUUUUGGAGAGGGAGGGGGUACCAAACCCUAUUCUGAAUUCAGAAAUGAUGUGUUUAAGGCCAUCCAUAAUUGGUUAUUCUUUUGAAUCAUUCACUUAUAGAGAGCUUUGCAUACAUCUCUUCACUCAUAUUCUAAGUGCUGCCUUUGCUGUACUCAGAAAAUAAUCAAAUACUAAGCAUAUAAUACAUAUCUGAAAAAAAUAAGACUCCCCUGGAUGGUCAAAGACUACAAAUUUCUUGAAACCUGAAUUUGAAUUUCUUGAUAAAACCUAAAAAGAUGAUAAAGAAUACAGGAAUUUGUCUUAAUUAAGCCUGUAGCUUCAGUUCCUAGAAAAGUGCCUGGUGAAGGGUAAGUGCUCGAAAAUAUUUAUUGCAUAAAAACAAGGCAGUAUAGAAUGCUACAGCCCAAAAGAAUAAUAUGCUAUUAGAGAAAGAAAAUAAUUUUCAGUUGGAGAUGUGAAAGAAGGUCUAAAAUUUUAUGAUUCUAAGACUCUUAGGGCAAGAUUUUAACCAAAUCUCAAGUGUGAGUAGAUCUUCAAUAGUUAAGAGGAUGUGUGCAGGUGCAUUUCCAACAGAAAAAUGUUGUAUCAGCAAAGGUAAAAAGAAGGAAAAUUGUUCUACCACUUAGAAGUGGUAAUAAUGAACACUUACCAAAGUUCUGGGACCAAAGUUUGAAAAGUUUUGGGAAGAAAUUUGGUAUUCAUGCUUGGUCAUUAGUGAUAUAACCUUUAGGAGGAUUAAUCUAAUGGGAGCUUAGACUUUUGAAAGCAAGAACCUUACUUUCUUCAAAAGCCUCUCCUAUCUACUCAAACCCUCUAGUUUCCUUCUUCUCUGAACUCUUAUAGUACCUGCCUGCAUCAUACAAUUUAACUCUUAAUUACAUAAACUUUUUUUUUUUGCUUUUUAGGCCUGUGCAUGUAGCAUAUCAAAGUUCCCAGGCUAGGGGUCGAAUCAGAGCUACAGCUGCUGGCCUACACCACAGCUACAGCAACGCAGGAUCUGA
rnacentral:lncRNA from 1 species